AUGCAGAUUGAAAGGAGGAACAUGAAGUCAGAGAGGAAAAAGAUUCAGAAAAAUGAGACAGGUUACAGAUUGAUUGCAGAAGGUGAUGUAGGAUUGAUGGCUGAACUGGUAAUGCAGGGCCAUUGUUUUUCUAGUAAUGCAGGGCCGGGAUUUCGUCGCAGGAAGAAGCCCGAGCACAUUCAGGCCCUCGAGCUUCCUUCCAUUGAAGCCAAGGCAUGCUGA